rnacentral:rRNA from 5 species
AUUGCCCUAGUAACGGCGAGUGAAGCGGCAACAGCUCAAAUUUGAAAUCUGGCCCUCGGGUCCGAGUUGUAAUUUGUAGAGGAUGCUUUUGGUGAGGUGCCUUCCGAGUUCCCUGGAACGGGACGCCAUAGAGGGUGAGAGCCCCGUCUGGUUGGACACCGAGCCUCUGUAAAGCUCCUUCGACGAGUCGAGUAGUUUGGGAAUGCUGCUCUAAAUGGGAGGUAUAUGUCUUCUAAAGCUAAAUACCGGCCAGAGACCGAUAGCGCACAAGUAGAGUGAUCGAAAGAUGAAAAGCACUUUGAAAAGAGAGUUAAAAAGUACGUGAAAUUGUUGAAAGGGAAGCGCUUAUGACCAGACUUGGGCUUGGUUGAUCAUCCUGGGUUCUCCCUGGUGCACUCUUCCAGUUCAGGCCAGCAUCAGUUCGCUGCGGGGGAUAAAAGUUUUGGGAAUGUGGCUCCUCCGGGAGUGUUAUAGCCCAUUUCAUAAUACCCUGCUCCGGACUGAGGUUCGCGCAUCUGCAAGGAUGCUGGCGUAAUGGUCAUCAGCGACCCGUCUUGAAACACGGACCAAGGAGUCGUCUUCGUAUGCGAGUGUUCGGGUGUUAAACCCCUACGCGUAAUGAAAGUGAACGCAGGUGAGAGCUUCGGCGCAUCAUCGACCGAUCCUGAUGUUCUCGGAUGGAUUUGAGUAAGAGCAUACGGGGCCGGACCCGAAAGAAGGUGAACUAUGCCUGUAUAGGGUGAAGCCAGAGGAAACUCUGGUGGAGGCUCGCAGCGGUUCUGACGUGCAAAUCGAUCGUCAAAUAUGGGCAUGGGGGCGAAAGACUAAUCGAACCUUCUAGUAGCUGGUUUCCGCCGAAGUUUCCCUCAGGA